rnacentral:lncRNA from 12 species
UCGCAGCAGAGAUGGGCAGCGAGGGAGGCAGUGCUUCCCAGCCACCAGUGCCUCUGGUAAUUAGCAAACUGGCAUGGAAAAUGAGGAUGAAGCACACAGGACAGGGACAUAAAACCAUUUUGCAAAACUACCUGUUUAACUAAUCCAGAUCCACACAGGACCAGCACCACUCCAAGAGCCCUCAGCAGCCACAACUCAAUCUAAGCUGCCUCUCUAAGACUGCCAGUAUUUCCCACAGAUGAGGAAGCCUUGCUGCUGGCCGACACAUCCAUGAAACACAUCAAUGAAAC